UGCCUACGGGGCGCAGCAGUGAGGAAUAUUGGUCAAUGGGCGAGAGCCUGAACCAGCCAAGUCGCGUGAGGGAGUACUGCCCUAUGGGUUGUAAACCUCUUUUGUCGGGGAACAAAGGCGGAGACGCGUCUCCGGAUGAGUGUACCCGAAGAAAAAGCAUCGGCUAACUCCGUGCCAGCAGCCGCGGUAAUACGGAGGAUGCGAGCGUUAACCGGAUUUAUUGGGUUUAAAGGGUGCGCAGGCGGGAGAUCAAGUCAGCGGUAAAAUGUCGGGGCUCAACCCCGACCGGCCGUUGAAACUGGUUU
rnacentral:rRNA from 1 species